GCUGGAGAAGGUCCCAAGGGUUGGGCUGUUCGCCCAUUAAAGUGGCACGCGAGCUUGGUUCAGAACGUCGUGAGACAGUUCGGUCCCUAUCUGUUGUGGGCGUAGGAUAUUUGCGGGGAUCUGCUCUUAGUACGAGAGGACCGGAGUGGACAAACCUCUAGUGCACCAGUUGUGACGCCAGUUGCACAGCUGGGUAGCUACGUUUGGCCGGGAUAAGCACUGAAAGCAUCUAAGUGCGAAGCCCCCCCCAAGAUGAGAUAUCCCUUCCAGAAAUGGACGUAAGGCACCUUGUAGACGACGAGGUUGAUAGGCCACAGGUGUAAGUGCAGUAAUGUAUUGAGCCGAGUGGUACUAAUAAGCCGUGCGGCUUAACCAU
rnacentral:rRNA from 1 species